AACGCGAAGAACCUUACCUCGGCUUGACAUGCACGUGGUACUGAUGGGAAACCAAAGGGACCCGCGAGGGAGCGUGCACAGAUGCUGCAUGGCUGUCGUCAGCUCGUGCCGUGAGGUGUUGGGUUAAGUCCCGCAACGAGCGCAACCCUUGUCCUUAGUUACCAUGUCUAGGGAGACCGCCGGUCUAAACCGGAGGAAGGUGGGGAUGACGUCAAGUCAGCACGGCUCUUACGUCGAGGGCUACACACACGCUACAAUGGCCGGUACAACGGGCUGCUAAGGGGCGACCUGGAGCUAAUCCCACCAAAGCCGGUCUCAGUUCGGAUCGCAGGCUGCAACUCGCCUGCGUGAAGUCGGAGUUGCUAGUAACUGCUGGUCAGCACACAGCAGUGAAUACGUUCCCGGGCCUUGUACACACCGUAGUAC
rnacentral:rRNA from 1 species